rnacentral:misc_RNA from 1 species
GAUGAAGAACGCAGCGAAAUGCGAUAAGUAAUGUGAAUUGCAGAAUUCCGUGAAUCAUCGAAUCUUUGAACGCACAUUGCGCCCGCCAGUAUUCUGGCGGGCAUGCCUGUUCGAGCGUCAUUUCAACCCUCAAGCCCCCGGGCUUGGUGUUGGGGAUCGGCCGCCCUCCGGCGCGCCGGCCCCGAAAUCUAGUGGCGGUCUCGCUGUAGCCUCCUCUGCGUAGUAGCACACCUCGCACCGGAACGCAGCCUGGCCACGCCGUUAAACCCCCCACUUCUGAAGGUUGACCUCGGAUCAGGUAGGAAUACCCGCUGAACUUAAGCAUAUCAAUAAGCGGAGGA